rnacentral:rRNA from 1 species
AUACGUAGGGGGCGAGCGUUGUCCGGAAUGAUUGGGCGUAAAGCGCAUGUAGGCGGUUUGGUAAGUCGGUCGUGAAAAUGCGGUGCUUAACGACGUAUGGGGAUCGAAACUGCUGAACUUGAGUGCCGGUGAGGAAAAGGGACCUCCCCGGGUAGCGGUGAAAUGCGUAGAUAUUGGGAAGAACACCGGUGGCGAAGGCGCCUUUCUGGACUGUGUCUGACGCUCAGAUGCGAAAGCCAGGGUAGCGAACGGGAUUAGAUACCCCGGUAGUCCUGGCCGUAAACGAUGGGUACUAGGUGUGGGAGGUAUCGACUCCUUCCGUGCCGGAGUUAACGCAAUAAGUACCCCGCCUGGGGAGUACGGCCGCAAGGCUUAAACUCAAAGGAAUUGACGGGG